CAUGCAUGUCUCAGUACGAGCCGUAUUAAGGUGAAACCGCGAAAGGCUCAUUAAAUCAGUUAUGGUUCCUUAGAUCGUACCCACAUUUACUUGGAUAACUGUGGUAAUUCUAGAGCUAAUACAUGCAAACAGAGCUCCGACCGGAGACGGAAGGAGCGCUUUUAUUAGAUCAAAACCAAUCGGUGUCGGGUCCGCCCGUCAUCGUACACCUUGGUGACUCUGAAUAACUUUUUGCUGAUCGCACGGUCUCGCACCGGCGACGCAUCUUUCAAAUGUCUGCCUUAUCAACUGUCGAUGGUAGGUUCUGCGCCUACCAUGGUUGUAACGGGUAACGGGGAAUCAGGGUUCGAUUCCGGAGAGGGAGCCUGAGAAACGGCUACCACAUCCAAGGAAGGCAGCAGGCGCGCAAAUUACCCACUCCCGGCACGGGGAGGUAGUGACGAAAAAUAACGAUACGGGACUCAUCCGAGGCCCCGUAAUCGGAAUGAGUACACUCUAAACCCUUUAACGAGGAUCAAUUGGAGGGCAAGUCUGGUGCCAGCAGCCGCGGUAAUUCCAGCUCCAAUAGCGUAUAUUAAAGUUGUUGCGGUUAAAAAGCUCGUAGUCGAAUUUGUGUCCCGCGCCGCCGGUUCAUCGCUCGCGGUGUUUAACUGGCGUGUCCGCGGGACGUCCUGCCGGUGGGCUUAGCCCCUUCACGGGGGCGGCCCAACUUCAAAUCCCACCGCGGUGCUCUUUACCGAGUGUCGAGGUGGGCCGGCACGUUUACUUUGAACAAAUUAGAGUGCUUAAAGCAGGCUAAAACUUCGCCUGAAUACUGUGUGCAUGGAAUAAUGGAAUAGGACCUCGGUUCUAUUUUGUUGGUUUUCGGAACUCCGAGGUAAUGAUUAAUAGGAACGGAUGGGGGCAUUCGUAUUGCGACGUUAGAGGUGAAAUUCUUGGAUCGUCGCAAGACGGACAGAAGCGAAAGCAUUUGCCAAAAACGCUUUCAUUGAUCAAGAACGAAAGUUAGAGGUUCGAAGGCGAUCAGAUACCGCCCUAGUUCUAACCAUAAACGAUGCCAGCUAGCGAUCCGCCGACGUUCCUCCGAUGACUCGGCGGGCAGCUUCCGGGAAACCAAAGCUUUUGGGUUCCGGGG
rnacentral:rRNA from 1 species